CACCGGUGGAUUUGAUUACAAAUCUUAAAGCCGUGGACCAGAGCCACGUCAGCGAGCAAUAAUGUUCGGUGAAAACAGAAGUCGUCCCGAACGAACGAGACACUCGCACCACUCAUCCACUUCUCUCUCUAGCCGCUCUCCAUUCCCCAUGCCACCGUCUCCCGUCCGCUCCACGCCCCCACCUCCCCACCGCCGUCCCCAGCUCACCGGCGCUGCCCUAUCCUAUCCUCGCCGCCACGCGCAUUUGCUGCCGCGCGACGACAUCGGCGCCCUCGUAGCUGGGACUCCGCCUAGUCAACUUUGAUUGGGAGGUGGUGACGCAUCCGUACCGGCGGGGAGGUGGUGGAUGGGGCGCGGCCAUUUGCGAGCACCAGGAGCGGUGGUGGUGGCCAGGGCUGCGCCGUGUCCGGGGCAAAGUGCACCGCACUGAGGAGGCGUCGGCAUCGACGGCAGGGCGCGGAGGCGCACCUCGAUUCAGGAGACGCGCGCGCGGGAGGCGACGUUGUCGCUUGUCCAUCAAGAGCAGAUGCGGGCGGAGGCGGCGAGCGCGCUGUCGGCCACGUCGGGGACGGGAUGCCCCUCCCACUCCCACUCGCUGCGCGUCGAGCUUGACAUGGCCGCGAGCUUGCUUUCUAGGCGGGGGCUGCGGGGUGGUGCACGCCAUGGAGACCGCUGGGCUCGCCACUGAUUUUGAGCAGCGUCAUGGGAGCCAGCAAGAGACGAUUCAUCAGUACCCCCUGAUACUCACCCUCUAGCUUCUUUUUUUUCCUUCUUAAUGUUUUCUGUGACGCAUCAGUACUCCCUAAUCGCCUUGAUACUAGUACGUACGUUUUUUGUCUCAAACUAGUUGCCAUUUUGUCAUAAUUUGCAAUCAGAGUAUGUUGCUCCUUUUAGCAGCAAGCAAAACUGACCAAACUAGUUGUGUUUGUGCCGUGUGCAUCUCUGCUUUUUUGUUAUAUAUACAUCGUGCAAACUUCUAAAAUUUCUGCAAUUGUUAGUUUUUUUGUUCCACGACAUAAGAGAUAAAUGCUACAAGAACAUGACAUUUUUUACUAAAAUGAUAUGACAAUUAUUAGAAAAAUCAUAUGGAAAUUUUCAGAAAUUCACAAGUUUAUGAAAAAUGGCAUUUUUAGAUAAAACUGAAUUUUUUGUCACAUGGCAUUUUCUUACAAAGUCACAUGUCAUUUUUAUUGACAACUAACAGUGGCAAAAUUCAGAUUUUUUUGUUGACUCACCUUUUCUGCCAUGACACAUUUAUUAGGACAUACCCAAUGGCAAGUUUUAAUAUGUACCUCAUGGCAAAUUUACUUUAUAGCAAGUUUCUUUUUUCAAGCCUAUGUCAAAGUUACUUUAUAGCAAGUUUUAAUAUGUACACCAUGGCAAAUUUACUUUCGUUUUGUAUGACGAUGUCAAACUUUUCUUACCAUGGCAAUUUUUGGCAAAUUCACUAGACGUCCCACGGCAAAUUCACUAACAUGCCCAUGGCAAGUUUCUUUUUCAAGCCGAUGUCAAACUUUUCUUUCCAUGCAACUUUCUUUUUUCAAGACGAUGUCAAGCUUUUCUUACCAUGGCAAUUUUUUUAGUGAAUUUUCCAUGUCAAAUUCACUAGAUGUCCCACGGCAAAUUCACUAACAUGCCCAUGGCAAGUUUCUUUUUUCAAGCUGAUGUCAAACUUUUUUUUCCAUGGCAACUUUCUUUUUUCAAGACGAUGUGAAACUUCACUAGAUGUCCCACGACAAAUUCACUAACAUGCCCAUGGCAAGUUUCUUUUUUCAAGCCGAUGUCAAACUUUUAUUGCCAUGGCAACUUUCGCUUUUCAAGACAAUGUCCAACUUUUCUUACCAUGGCAAUUUUUUUAGUGAAUUUGCCAUGGCAAAUUUACCUAAAGUUCCAUGGUAAUUUUUAACUUUUAUUGUCAUGGCAAGUUUUACUUUUUAUUUGCCAUGGCUAAUUUACCUUUAUUAACAUGGCAAUUUCUAACUUCUAUUGCCAUGGCAAGAUUUUACUAUUUAUUUGACCUUUAUUAACAUUGAUGUUAUUACUUUUUUUUGCCAUGUCAAAUAUAUGCAAAUUUUAAUAUGAUUUUGGUUAUGAUCAUGGCAAUUUUAACUAUAUGCACCAUGACCAUUUUUCUUCCUUUUUGCAACAUGGCAAAUUUCUUUUGCACGGGACCAUGGCAAAUAGUCUAUGCAUCUUCGAAAUUUUAGUGUAUGGAUCAUGCCAUUUUGUAGUCUACAUUUUAGUACAUGGAUCAUGCCAUGAGAUUAUAGCCUAUGCAUUUCUGUCAUAAGAUCAUGGAAACAUUAUGUAGGUUUUUUCAUUUAUUUUUUUAAUACACAAUUUUUUUGCCAUGUACAGUGGGAAUUUUACAAGUACUUUUUUUUAAUUCCCAUCCCCCAUCCCCCACUUGCCUUGUCUUUAUUUAGAGAAUAAAAUUUGUAAAACUUGCCAUGUGUAGCAUUUUUUCCUUCGUUCAUACUCGUCAUCACAAUUUGUUCACUAAAUUUUCUUUUUUUAAUCAUGCAUGCUUUAACAUACUGAACGUAGCCAUUUUGUGGUGUCUCAGUUGGCAAUUAAUCACUCAUUAUAAAUCCUAAUGCAGUGUCAUGUUUUGAAUUUUCUGUAUUGUACCGUUUUUUCUCUACUAGUUUUACAUAUGUCUACAUUUUUCUCUAUAUUUUUUGGUGCAAAGGGAUUCUUGUUUGGGCCAGGAAGCAGUAUUGGGCCUGUCUGGUCAGGCGUUCGUGCUAAGAGGCUGUUUGUAUCGAACAAAAUGGUUCGGCCGAUCGCUACUCCCCUGCCGAACGAAACGUCAGUCCGGUGCCUACCCAGACCGAACGUUCGGCCGUUAUCGGCGUCCUAAAAUUAUUUUAAAGCUUCAAAAAUAUUUGAGAAAAAUCAGGGAAACUCAGUGGACAUAUAUUUUCCAUAUAUAAGAGUUUCAACACAUGGCCAUGUUCAAAAUAUUAGGUAAAACCCUCCAAAACCAUUUCUGUCCAUUUCAAGUAUUUGAAAUAUUUCUACAAGAAAUAUUUUCCAAUAAAUCCAGGAAAAUUCUAGCAAGUCACAUCUGCAUAAUGUGAUGAUAUUGCAAAGUUCUAUUUCAAUCAAAAUUGUUUUGGUUCACAAAAGUGCCCCAAAACCCUUUCUGUCCACAACCAAACUUGGCCAACUUUACAUUACCAACUUCUUCCAAAUUACCUCAAACCUUGUGGACAUGCUCACAACCCCAAAUGAGGACACUACACCAAGUGGUGCAUCUAGGGGAAUGGUUUUGCAUGACUAGAUCUUGGUAAAUGCAUUUCGGUUUUGCAUGACUAGAUCUUGGUAAAUGCAUUUCUGUUGAUUUCUAGGGUUUACAACAGUUGCAUUGGCAACUUUGCCCAAAUGAGCUCAAAAUUGGUGGAAGGCCCUAAUUAUAUGUGCCAUUUCACCCUGUGGAGUCUCAUGUCAAAUGAAAUUCAUUUGCAUACCCAAACCAGCAACAAACACUUUCGGCCACUUUACCAAAAUUUCAUUUUUGACCUCUUCCACUAAUCUCCAUGGGCUCAACUUUGUACCACAGCUGCUCCUGACCCUCUUCUACCACUAGUAACUAUGGCUGCAUCUCAGCUCAAUGAUUGAGGUGUGCAACCACCUCAUUUACCCCUCUGGACAAUCCAUUUCCCCCUCUCUCUCUCUCAACCCCACUCCUCUCCUACUAGCUCUCCAAGGCACCCAAUGCAACUCCCCUCUUCUUUACUGCCGCAUAGGGCAGCCAGACAUCAGGUGUCAUGCCCACAAGGCAUAUAAAAUGCCAUGGCAUGCCAUUUGCAUGCUCCAGAGCGCGGUACAGUGCGGCCAGGCACUGUAGCCACCCCCUGCUAACCACCUCCGGCCACCUCGGGCGAACCCAGCGCGCCCGACGAGGUGCCUCGGCAUCUGCGACACGCUAACCCCUGUCCCCCUCCUCCUUCUCCCUCCCGCUGCCCCUGCUCGCACGAGCGCCGGCCGCCCGAGAGCUCCAAUGAGGGGCCUCACGCGCGCAGCACCUCUGGCCCUCCCCCGCUCUCACUCUUCACUCCACUCGCUCUGGACCAACCACAGGAACGCCAGAAACACGCCCACACGAGCCACGUUGGCCUGCAGUGACGGCAAAAAGCUCCCUGGCGCACGAGUCCUCGAUGGACCGCCGCCCCCCUAUUUAAGGGCCUCCCCGAGCCCUCCUCUCCUCACCACUCGCUCUCUAACUCCGUAAUCACCCCCCUACACCACCCUCUCCUCUCUAAAAGCUCUCGACCCCGAGCUCCGCCGCGGCGGCUCACCAUCGUCCGCACGGUAGAAGCUCUCCCCACUGCUCCUAAGCCCCGAUCUGGAACCCCCGCACUCCACUGAUCCUUUCCCCCUGUUUCCCCUCUCUGUAGCUGCUGGAAACGGCCAGAACCGCCGCCACCCGAAGCUCCUCCGACCGUCCUCGUCGCCGGCGAACCAGGCCACCCCGACGACCGCAACCGCCACCACCAGUACGGCGACUCGACGCUGAGUCCAGCCGUGCCCUCGCCUGAAGUCGUUGCCGGCCGUUUGGACUCAGGGUUAGGGAUGACAGGCGGGCCCUGCCUGUCAGCCUCCUCUCCAUUACCCCACUCUCUCUCGCUGACGCCUGGGCCUCGCCCGUCAGGUUUAAACCUGGCACACGCGCGUGCACCGGUGCGCUGGGCCACCUCUCUGGCUGGGCCUGCUGCGCUGCGGCUGAUCUGGCCCUCCAGGCAUAGUGCCCCUUCUCCUUUUUCUUUUCUGUUAAACUUGCAAAAAUUCCACAUGAUUAAGUAAUAAUCCAAAUGCAAUAAUUCCAACUCCUAAAUUCUUGUAAUAAUCCCACCAAUUUAAUGGUGCAAUUUUAACUCUUAUCAAACCAGCUUUUCUUCAAUGUUCAAAUAUAAAUUUGAAUUUGAGCAUUUAUGUGUGUCAUUGAAAAUUCCUAGCACUGGUUCCAUGACUCCAAAUCCAAAACUAGGAAUUUCUCAUUCUUAGAAUACAGUCUAGUAUUUAACAAAAAAUAGUUGACAUUUUUCUGAGCACUUUGGUUUUUCUGUUUUUCUAUUGCCUUAUUUUCUCAUUGUUAUUUUGCGACGAUAGAUUGUGUUGCUGACGAAGGAGUUGGACUAGAAGACUUUGAAGACCCAGAAGACUUUGCUGAGCCAGGCAAGCAGCCCUUUGACCAUACCGUGAAACCUUUUUAUGCAUGUCAUAUAGCACUUGUUGUUGUUGCACCGGAAUCAUGAUGGGAGGGUACCACUUUGGUGAGUUACUCCGUUGCUUUUUCUCGUUGAUACUUGCAUGAUGCAUGACCCUACCUUUCUAUGAGGGUUAUGCGAGUGGGGGUAGCUAGGAUGCUAAGUAGAGCUACGCAAAAAGGGAUGGGUAUAUGCAUGGUGAUGGAAGCAAGAUUGUUUUCAAAAACUUUUCGAAAACUCCAUCGGGUGCCACUUAUGCCUGAGGGAGAUAAUGAGUUGGGUAACCACUUGAUGACGAAGUGGUGUACGGAGGCAAGUGUGUGUGUUGUUUUCAAAACGGAUUGGUUUAAGUUGCGACCGUUACUCCAACCUUACAUUCGCAACCACUAUACCCUUAUAUGGGAAGGGCAUUAUUGAUUACCUAGGCCGAUACUAGCAUGGCGCCCACAUUACUAGUGACGGGGGAGACAUGAGGUCACUCUCGGGACGGGGUCGUACCAGGUAGGGCGGCCAUGAAUGUUUUUACAGGGCACCGGACACACCGUUGGUACCCAGUGCUUGUGGUAUGUGAUGAAUAUGGGAGCGUGGCUCCAAAAUCUUAAGAUGAGAAAUGUUGGGCACGGGGGUUGCUACCAAUCGAGUGGACUCUAUGACAGUGUCGUCUAGGGAGAGAUAAUGAUAUGGUGCUUACCCCGGGUACUUGAGGUGCUGCGGGUCAUGGAUGACAUGGAAGUUCCCCGGAUCUUGUGGGUAAAGUGUGCAACCUCUGCAGAGUGUAAAACUAUUCGAAUAGCCGUGUCCACGGUCAAGGACAGUUGGGUAACCGCUCUUGGGCUACGUCCACUUGUUUACAAACCAGUCUAUGUGUGUUUGGAUAAGUGCGAACAACUACUUGGGUCAAGUCAAAGGACUUGACAUGAUUGAGUUGGGCUGAAGCCCGCUCCCUUUAUAUUGAUAUCUGUAACCAAUCCCUAUAGUUACUUGAAUUCAUAUGAUGCAUGAUUUACCAGUUGUUGAACCUGUCAUAGCACAAUAAAAUUAGCUUUCUGCAAAAAUUUACCUAUGUCAUGCAUUGUUGUAUCUUGAGCCAAAACAUGGGUUGCUUGUGAGGACAUUCAAAGUACUCAUUGGCUUGCCACUGGUUAUUUAAUUGGCCAGGCAUGGAAGAGCAGGAAUUUGAGGAAGAGUUGUUCUGAGCCGAACAUGCGAACGGGACGAUGUCCCAGUCAGAAUGCCUGUAGGGUUAAAGCAGAUUGCAUGGGUUCUACUUAUCUAUGAAGACUUCCGCUAUUUGUGUUUAUUCGAUGUUUAGCCGUGAGGCUUAUCUAUGUAAGACUUGACCAUAAUGGUCAUAAUUUGUGUAAGACGGUACGUUUGGAUGUAAGACUCUUGUUAUUCAGCAUCUGUGUCUUCAGUGAGCAUUGAUCUUUGGGAUCACUGUACACGUGCAUUUGGUGAUCUCGGCUCAUAAGUCGGGGUCCCCACAGAACUGGUAUCAGAGCCAUCCUGGCUGUAGGAAGCCUUAGUUAGCA
rnacentral:lncRNA from 1 species